AGCCUACUGGUACCAGCAGGGGGCAAGAGGAAGAACUGAUGGAGAGACUCCUGAAUGAGGAAGAGAAGGCUGGAAGUCUGGUUUGUGAGCUCAAGACCAUAGCGUAUCACUGAAGGGACCAAUGUGGCUGUACUGAAACCAUCUGCACCAUGGUCCAGGCUAGGGCUUCAGAGGACACCGCAGUGGUCACCAGCUGUUUUGAUGCUGCACUGUGGCCUCACUUUUUAUAAACUAUCCCAAAAU
ensembl:lincRNA 1700027F06Rik RIKEN cDNA 1700027F06 gene